UUUACCAAACGCAUAGAUAAGCCAAAAGGUGCUUAUACGCCAAUUUGACGAGCUUAUAAGCUUUUAGCCAAAAACCUUCUUAGACUUUAGAAACCCUAAGUCCUUACAUCUAAAAUUCUUAGCAACAACAAUUCACAACACAUCGGCCAGCGUCUCGCCUCGACAGUCGCUCACCGACUGCCCGACUCGUUGUCUCGCCAUCUCAGCUCUCCCUCUGGCUGUCUCGCCAUAGCCAGAACCCAGAGCAGCAGAUGGUAAGUUUCUUUUCUUGCAACCUCUAUUGCCUGCCUUCACAUCACACUAUUUCUGUUCAUCAAGUUCGAAUACCUGAUUUGCUUAGAAGGCUGUCAAAAACUAUCUUGGUGGAAGUUAUCUUCACUCUCAAGACAACAUGGAUAUUUGAAGGCCAUUACUUAUAAGUAUCUUCAUAUCCGCUAAUAGAGUAUCUAGCUGCUGCUUUAUUUAUUCUUUCUUGGAUGUUGUUUCUUCUAAGUUUACCCCCUCUGUUUUUGUUUUUUUUGAAUUGUUCUUCUCUUGUGUAUUUCAAUAGAGAAAUUUGGAUAGAUUAUUGUGAGAAGUAUUGAGCCUGUUUCAAUGGUA